CGGAAGGAUCAUUACCACACCAAMAAAACCCCACGUGAAUGUACUCUAUUAUUAGGCAUGGCCGGUCCUCGGACGUAGCUAGCCGAAGGUUUCGUAAGAAACCGAUGUCAUUUCAUCCCUUUUAAAUUAAUUCUGAUCAAAACUGCAGACAGAAAUGUGUGCAUUCAAUUGAAAUACAACUUUCAACAGUGGAUGUCUAGGCUCGCACAUCGAUGAAGAACGCUGCGAACUGCGAUACGUAAUGCGAAUUGCAGAAUUCAGUGAGUCAUCAAAAUUUUGAACGCAUAUUGCACUUCCGGGUUAGUCCUGGGAGUAUGUUUGUAUCAGUGUCCGUUAAUACAAAAUUGUUUCCUUUUUUAAGGAAGCAGAACGUGGAGUGUCUUGCUUUGGCAAGUCCUCCUAAAUGAUACUACCUGUACGUCCUUGUGGAAUACAUUACGUAAAGGUGUCUACGAUUUCGAUGGCGAUUGUUUUGUGAAAAGACGCUCGUUUUUGAAGGAGAGACGGAUUGCGGUAGCUUUGCUUGUGCUUCGGCACGGGUGAACACUAUUAUUGCUUUUUGUCGAACCGGAUAGGCUUGUGUUGGACCAUGAAAUGCGUCUUCGAAUAGUAGAUACUGGUGUAUUCCUUGUCGUAUGGAGGAAAUUGGGAAUUUAAUCCAAUUUGGACCUGAUAUCAAACAAGACUACCCGCUGAACUUAAGCAUAUCAA
rnacentral:rRNA from 1 species